GGGUUCAGUGGCAGAAUCCUCACCUUCCAUGCGGGAGACCUGGGUUCGAUUCCCAGCCA
rnacentral:tRNA from 1 species